UUCCCCUAGUAACUGCGAGUGAAGCGGGAAAAGCUCAAAUUUAAAAUCUGGUAGUCUUUGGCUGCCCGAGUUGUAAUCUAGAGAAGUGUUAUCCGCGCUGGACCGUGUAUAAGUCUCCUGGAAUGGAGCGUCAUAGAGGGUGAGAAUCCCGUCUUUGAUACGGACUGCCAGGGCUUUGUGAUGCACUCUCAAAGAGUCGAGUUGUUUGGGAAUGCAGCUCUAAAUGGGUGGUAAAUUCCAUCUAAAGCUAAAUAUUGGCGAGAGACCGAUAGCGAACAAGUACCGUGAGGGAAAGAUGAAAAGAACUUUGGAAAGAGAGUUAAACAGUACGUGAAAUUGUUGAAAGGGAAACACUUGAAGUCAGUCGCGUUGUCCCAGGGAUCAACCUUGCUUUUGCUUGGUGUACUUCCUGGUUUAACGGGUCAGCAUCAAUUUUGAUCAGUGGAAAAAGAUCAAAGGAAUGUGGCAUCUUUGGAUGUGUUAUAGCCUUUGGUUGUAUACAUUGGUUGGGAUUGAGGAACUCAGCACGCUGAAAGGCCGGGUUUUUAACCACGUUCGUGCUUAGGAUGCUGGCAUAAUGGCUUUAAUUGACCCGUCUUGAAACACGGACCAAGGAGUCUAACAUACCUGCGAGUGUUUGGGUGGAAAACCCAAGCGCGUAAUGAAAGUGAAAGUUGGGAUCCCUGUCGUGGGGAGCACCGACGCCCGGACCAGACCUUCUGUGACGGAUCCGCGGUAGAG
rnacentral:rRNA from 1 species